rnacentral:antisense_RNA from 1 species
UGUUAUGGCGGGCUGUGCAUGGGACACCUUCGGGUGUGCCGGUUUCCUCUUACACCGGUAUUCCUACCCUGUGCGCAGUCCGCCUCCAUU